CUAUAAUGUCAGGGAUACAGUUUUAUAUUCCUAACACUAUAGUGUUCCAUUACAUUUAGUGAAGAACUAAUAAAUUGACUCUAAACAGGGUGAAAUGUAAGGUAAAAUAGGACAUCUGCCAUUUACAGUAUAAUAAAUCAAGCCAUUCUACUUGUGUUUCCUGCCUCUAAAUGUUUACAGUUGUCAUUUAACCCUGAGUGAAAGCAGUUCUGUAUGCCAAGGUGUGUAGGGGGUCCCUUUAUGUCCG